UGGCGAACGGGUGAGUAACGCGUAAUCAACCUGCCCUUCAGAGGGGGAUAACAACGGGAAACCGUUGCUAAUACCGCGUACGAUUCAUAAACGGCAUCGUUUAUGAAUGAAAGGUGGCCUCUAUGUAUAAGCUAUCGCUGAAGGAGGGGAUUGCGUCUGAUUAGCUAGUUGGAGGGGUAACGGCCCACCAAGGCAAUGAUCAGUAGCCGGUCUGAGAGGAUGAACGGCCACAUUGGGACUGAGACACGGCCCAAACUCCUACGGGAGGCAGCAGUGGGGAAUCUUCCGCAAUGGACGAAAGUCUGACGGAGCAACGCCGCGUGAGUGAUGAAGGUCUUCGGAUUGUAAAGCUCUGUUAAUCGGGACGAAAGAGUUCUGUGUGAAUAAUGCAGAAAAGUGACGGUACCGGAAUAGAAAGCCACGGCUAACUACGUGCCAGCAGCCGCGGUAAUACGUAGGUGGCAAGCGUUGUCCGGAAUUAUUGGGCGUAAAGCGCGCGCAGGCGGCCUAUCCAGUCUGUCUUAAAAGUUCGGGGCUCAACCCCGUGAUGGGAUGGAAACUAGUAGGCUAGAGUAUCGGAGAGGAAAGCGGAAUUCCUAGUGUAGCGGUGAAAUGCGUAGAUAUUAGGAAGAACACCAGUGGCGAAGGCGGCUUUCUGGACGAAAACUGACGCUGAGGCGCGAAAGCCAGGGGAGCGAACGGGAUUAGAUACCCCGGUAGUCCUGGCCGUAAACGAUGGGUACUAGGUGUAGGAGGUAU
rnacentral:rRNA from 1 species